rnacentral:rRNA from 1 species
GACGAACGCUGGCGGCGUGCUUAACACAUGCAAGUCGAACGGAAAGGCCCUGCUUUUGUGGGGUGCUCGAGUGGCGAACGGGUGAGUAACACGUGAGUAACCUGCCCUUGACUUUGGGAUAACUUCAGGAAACUGGGGCUAAUACCGGAUAGGAGCUCCUGCUGCAUGGUGGGGGUUGGAAAGUUUCGGCGGUUGGGGAUGGACUCGCGGCUUAUCAGCUUGUUGGUGGGGUAGUGGCUUACCAAGGCUUUGACGGGUAGCCGGCCUGAGAGGGUGACCGGCCAAAUUGGGACUGGGAUACGGCCCAGACUCCUACGGGAGGCAGCAGGGGGGAAUAUUGCACAAUGGGCGGAAGCCUGAUGCAGCAACGCCGCGUGCGGGAUGACGGCCUUCGGGUUGUAAACCGCUUUCGCCUGUGACGAAGCGUGAGUGACGGUAAUGGGUAAAGAAGCACCGGCUAACUACGUG